CCUACGGGAGGCAGCAGUGGGGAAUAUUGCACAAUGGGCGCAAACCUGAUGCAGCCAUGCCGCGUGUAUGAAGAAGGCCUUCGGGUUGUAAAGUACUUUCAGCGGGGAGGAAGGUGUUGUGGUUAAUAACCACAACAAUUGACGUUACCCGCAGAAGAAGCACCGGCUAACUCCGUGCCAGCAGCCGCGGUAAUACGGAGGGUGCAAGCGUUAAUCGGAAUUACAGGGCGUAAAGCGCACGCAGGCGGUCUGUCGAGUCGGAUGUGAAAUCCCCGGGCUCAACCUGGAAACUGCAUUCGAAACUGGCAGGCUAGAGUCUUGUAGAGGGGGGUAGAAUUCCAGGUGUAGCGGUGAAAUGCGUAGAGAUCUGGAGGAAUACCGGUGGCGAAGGCGGCCCCCUGGACGAAGACUGACGCUCAGGUGCGAAAGCGUGGGGAGCAAACAGGAUUAGAUACCCG
rnacentral:rRNA from 1 species